GUCAGGAAGCUCCUGCCCACAUCCAGGACACAGCUCAAAGAAGACUCUGCAGCCUGCUCUCAUCUAUUCUGACCCACCCUACUUACUUGAUGCCAGUUGCUCUACUGUGUCUUCUGCCAGCCCAGACUGAGAUGGGCAAACUCCUGCUCCUCCUGCUGCUGGGGGCUUUUGUCCUUGUGUUGAUCCAAGGCAUUUGUGAGUUGCCUGACCUGAGUGCUGAGACUCAAACUCGAGUUCUCUGCAGGAGCAGUACCUGCUGUUCAAGUAAUAAUAUGAAUGUCCUGCAACAUGUUUGUGAAUGGCAAAUGUAUAGAAGGUGAGGGUAAAUGCACCAUGGAGGAAGGUGGUGCAUGCAGAACUGGAGAUAUCUAUCAUUUCAAUCCAAGAGUUUCCCUGGUGUGCCUGCUGGAUCCCCCUCCAUACAUGCUCUGCUGAAGAUGAAGCAAGUCUUUGUUGUUUUUGUUGUUGUUGUUGUUGUUUUGUUUUGUUUCUUUUUGUUUUAUUAAUCAUUUUAUUCAUUUACAUUUCAAAUUAUUUCUCUCUUCACAGAGGAAGCAACUCAUAUAACCUCUAUGCAUCCUUCUUUCCUCUGUCUUGGAUGCUGACUCCUUCCUACCCAACAUCAGAUACCAAACAUUCUCCAUUCAUCUUCAUUUCCUGCCUUUCUUCAUUUAUAUGUGAAAAUCAUCACCAAUCUUGCUUGUCUUGCAUUUAUCUCUCCCUCACAAUCACUAAGUUGCUCUGGCUGACGAGCUACCAGGCUU
rnacentral:lncRNA from 1 species